rnacentral:rRNA from 1 species
AUUGAACGCUGGCGGCAUGCCUUACACAUGCAAGUCGAACGGUAACAGGUUAAGCUGACGAGUGGCGAACGGGUGAGUAAUAUAUCGGAACGUGCCCAGUCGUGGGGGAUAACUGCUCGAAAGAGCAGCUAAUACCGCAUACGACCUGAGGGUGAAAGCGGGGGAUCGCAAGACCUCGCGCGAUUGGAGCGGCCGAUAUCAGAUUAGGUAGUUGGUGGGGUAAAGGCCCACCAAGCCAACGAUCUGUAGCUGGUCUGAGAGGACGACCAGCCACACUGGGACUGAGACACGGCCCAGACUCCUACGGGAGGCAGCAGUGGGGAAUUUUGGACAAUGGACGCAAGUCUGAUCCAGCCAUGCCGCGUGCGGGAAGAAGGCCUUCGGGUUGUAAACCGCUUUUGUCAGGGAAGAAAAGGUUCUGGCUAAUACCUGGGACUCAUGACGGUACCUGAAGAAUAAGCACCGGCUAACUACGUGCCAGCCGCCGCGGUAAUAC